rnacentral:rRNA from 1 species
GAUAAACGCUAGCGGCAGGCUUAACACAUGCAAGUCGAGGGGCAGCAUAGAUUGUAGCAAUACAAUUGGUGGCGACCGGCGCACGGGUGCGUAGCGCGUAUGCAACCUACCCGUCACAGGGGGAUAAUCCGGAGAAAUCUGGUCUAAUACCCCAUAACAUAUGGAUCGGCAUCGGUUCAUGUUGAAAUUUUCGGAGGUGACGGAUGGGCAUGCGUAGCAUUAGCUUGUUGGUGAGGUAACGGCUCACCAAGGCGACGAUGCUUAGGGGGACUGAGAGGUUUUCCCCCCUCACUGGUACUGAGACACGGACCAGACUCCUACGGGAGGCAGCAGUGAGGAGUAUUGGUCAAUGGGCGCAAGCCUGAACCAGCCAUGCCGCGUGCAGGAUGACGGCUCUGUGAGUUGUAAACUGCUUUUGUACGAGGGUAAAGUGGGUUACGUGUAACCUUUUGAAAGUAUCGUACGAAUAAGGAUCGGCUAACUCCGUGCCAGCCGCCGCAGUAA